GGCAGUGGCGGCGGAGAUGGAGGAGGGAGGCCGGGACAAGGCGCCGGUGCAGCCCCAGCAGUCUCCAGCGGCGGCCCCCGGCGGCACGGACGAGAAGCCGAGCGGCAAGGAGCGGCGGGAUGCCGGGGACAAGGACAAAGAACAGGAGCUGUCUGAAGAGGAUAAACAGCUUCAGGAUGAACUGGAGAUGCUCGUGGAACGACUAGGGGAGAAGGACACAUCCCUGUAUCGACCAGCGCUGGAGGAAUUGCGAAGGCAGAUUCGUUCUUCUACAACUUCCAUGACUUCAGUGCCCAAGCCUCUCAAAUUUCUGCGUCCACACUAUGGCAAACUGAAGGAAAUCUAUGAGAACAUGGCCCCUGGGGAGAAUAAGGUAAAACUGUUUCAAACCUGGUGGAGGCCUAGUUUAGGAAUUCCUUUUUACCCAGAUCAUGGGGGGGCUCAUUGUGAGUCACAGGAAGCCUGAUAGACCUAAGCCGUGAUCUAUUUGAGCAGAGUUCAUCACAGUCAAAAUAUCCGCAAAAGAGCUGAAAGGAAGGUCAGCUUCUCAGAAGACACUGUUUCUGUCAUGUGUAUUGGAC
rnacentral:sRNA from 1 species